GUGAGUAACACCCAAAACUAGAGUCAGAAGGUUGGCUCGGCACAGCGCUGGGAUGUGUGGAAGUCAGAGAAGCAUGUGAAGAGACAGGUACAGCAGUUCAGCAAGAGCUAUGAGAAUCAGAGGGAAAACCGCCUUCCCCCACGCAGGUCUCUGUGGCUGGUGACCAUCUUCCCAGUGAACACACAGACAGAACUCACAGCACAGUGCCCAGGCGAGGAGAGGAGACCAAUAGACGUUUGUGCAUCCUUAUGACACAUUUAGGAGAAACUGCAGUCCCAGUAUCCCAUGACCAUCUGACCAUGUUGUUUCCUUGAUCGUCCGGAUGUCACACAGUGUGCUUCAAGCAGUGUACGUGUCAGGCCCAACUCUGGUUCAGUUAUUUCCCCUUCUCUUUUGGAAUGUACUCUGCCAUGACUUUGUUUGUGAUUCAUUUUUAAGCUUUGGUAUUAAGGGUGGAAUGGGUAGAAUAGGACUGAACACUGUAAUAUCAUAACUUCCCAGUAGAAAUUCACAUCAGAAGUCCCCCGAUUUUUAAGCCCAAAGGCUGAGGGUUGGCUGCCUAGAGAGAGUAAAUGUUUUCACAAAAGGAAAAGAAUGAUUGUUUACAAGCAUUAAACUGUAUUAUCUACCACUUCUAAGAGGCAUGAAAUUGCUCAGGGUGAAAAGGACAUGAAACACUGUCCAAUCCAGCCACUCGUACAGGGUUUAGAACCCCUCACACCCCACCAUCCCCGUCAGCCCGUAAAAGGAGGGUGGAGACUGGGCUUGAACUCUUCUGGUGAUGAAAAUUGACUCUUCCUUUAAACAAACCUUGCGCAGCUCUAACUGUUCUGACUUUUGCUAUCUGCCCCUUAUUGAGCACCAAUUAUGAGCCUCGUUCUCUGCCAUGAGCUUUAUGAAUAUCUCAUUUAAUCCUCACCAUAGCCCUGGAAGUGUUAUCAUUCCCAUUUUGCAAUUCAGAAAACUCAGGUAGACUGUUGGCCUAAGAUCCCGCAGCUAGUGAGUGGCAGGGCCAGCAGAACAGUAGGCUCUCUGGUUGUAACUCCUCAUUUUCCCUACUGGUUCUUCCUUUUGUCAAGCCCCAAAUGCCCACUCUCAAUAGCUUUCACCCACUGGGGCUAUUUCUGUCUCUUGGGAGUGUGGAGGGAAAAACCUAACCUCUCUUCCACAUGAGCACUCUUCAGGUAUUUCAAGGUAUUUAUCUGAUGUCCUUUCCACUCUAGGCUAAAC
ensembl:lncRNA